UACGAAGGGGGCUAGCGUUGUUCGGAAUCACUGGGCGUAAAGGGCGCGUAGGCGGCCCUCUUUGUCGCGUGUGAAAGCCCCGGGCUCAACCUGGGAACGGCGCGCGAAACGGGGGGGCUGGAGUUCGGGAGAGGAGAGUGGAAUUCCCAGUGUAGAGGUGAAAUUCGUAGAUAUUGGGAAGAACACCGGUGGCGAAGGCGGCUCUCUGGACCGAGACUGACGCUGAGGCGCGAAAGCGUGGGGAGCAAACAGG
rnacentral:rRNA from 1 species